UAAGGUCACCAAGUAAGUUCCAAGAUCAUCCUCAGCACACACUGACAACAUGCUGGGGACCCUCUGUACUCUCAUCACUGCUCUAACAUGUGUGAGUGGUGUGACGGUGGUGACACAGAAGCCUCCUGUUCUGACGGUGAGGAAAGGAGAGACAGCCACCAUGGACUGUAACCUGGGGAAUGUUACUAAAGCUGGUCCCCGGUGGUACAGACAGAUCCCAGGAGGAGUUCCUCUCUAUAUGCUGAGGUUUCGUCAUGACUAUAGUUCCCCCAAAUAUGACACUGGGUUCCCUUCUGCAAGACACACAUCCACUCAUCAAUCAACAUCAGAUUACCGUUUGAUUAUCAGCAGUGUGGAAGAAGGAGACUCUGCAGUUUAUUACUGUAGCGUAUGGGACAGCUCUUCUAAGGAGUAUGUAUCACAGUGA